rnacentral:rRNA from 1 species
AGUGAACGCUGGCGGUAGGCCUAACACAUGCAAGUCGAACGGCAGCACAGUAAGAGCUUGCUCUUACGGGUGGCGAGUGGCGGACGGGUGAGGAAUACAUCGGAAUCUACUUUUUCGUGGGGGAUAACGUAGGGAAACUUACGCUAAUACCGCAUACGACCUACGGGUGAAAGCAGGGGAUCUUCGGACCUUGCGCGAUUGAAUGAGCCGAUGUCGGAUUAGCUAGUUGGCGGGGUAAAGGCCCACCAAGGCGACGAUCCGUAGCUGGUCUGAGAGGAUGAUCAGCCACACUGGAACUGGGACACGGUCCAGACUCCUACGGGAGGCAGCAGUGGGGAAUAUUGGACAAUGGGCGCAAGCCUGAUCCAGCCAUACCGCGUGGGUGAAGAAGGCCUUCGGGUUGUAAAGCCCUUUUGUUGGGAAAGAAAAGCAGCAGGUUAAGACCCCGCUGUUCUGACGGUACCCAAAGAAUAAGCACCGGCUAACUUCGU